GUGCCAGCAGCCGCGGUAAGACAGAGGCCACAAGCGUUAGGCGGAAUCACUGGGCUUAAAGCGUGUGUAGGCGGAUCGUUAAGUGCCUUGUGAAAUCCCACAGCUUAACUGUGGAACUGCUUGGCAUACUGGCGGUCUUGAGCCAUCUAGGGGUUGCUGGAACAAACGGUGGAGCGGUGAAAUGCGUAGAUAUCGUUUGGAACGCCAAUGGUGAAAACAGGCAACUGGGGAUGUGCUGACGCUGAGACACGAAAGCCAGGGGAGCAAACGGGAUUAGAAACCCCAGUAGUCC
rnacentral:rRNA from 1 species